CCAGACUCCUACGGGAGGCAGCAGUGAGGAAUCUUCCACAAUGGGCGAAAGCCUGAUGGAGCAACGCCGCGUGAAGGAUGAAGGCCUUCGGGUUGUAAACUUCUUUUAUGAGUGAAGAAUAUGACGGUAACUCAUGAAUAAGCACCGGCUAACUACGUGCCAGCAGCCGCGGUCAUACGUAGGGUGCGAGCAUUAUCCGGAGUGACUGGGCGUAAAGAGUUGCGUAGGCGGUUUAAUAAGUGAAUAGUGAAACCUGGUGGCUCAACCAUACAGACUAUUAUUCAAACUGUUAAACUCGAGAAUGGUAGAGGUAACUGGAAUUUCUUGUGUAGGAGUGAAAUCCGUAGAUAUAAGAAGGAACACCGAUGGCGUAGGCAGGUUACUGGGCCAUUUCUGACGCUAAGGCACGAAAGCGUGGGGAGCGAACCGGAUUAGAUACCCGGGUAGUCCACGCCGUAAACGAUGGAUACUAGCUGUUGGAGGUAUCGACCCCUCCAGUAGCGAAGCUAACGCGUUAAGUAUCCCGCCUGUGGAGUACGGCCGCAAGGCUAAAACAUAAAGGAAUUGACGGGGCCCGCACAAG
rnacentral:rRNA from 1 species